rnacentral:rRNA from 1 species
GGACCGGAGUGGACGAACCUCUGGUGUACCGGUUGUGACGCCAGUCGCAUCGCCGGGUAGCUAUGUUCGGAAGAGAUAACCGCUGAAAGCAUCUAAGCGGGAAACUCGCCUUAAGAUGAGAUAUCCCUGGAGGCUUGACCUCCUUGAAGGGUCGUUCGAGACCAGGACGUUGAUAGGUCGGGUGUGUAAGCGCAGUAAUGCGUUCAGCUAACCGAUACUAAUUGCCCGUAAGGCUUGAUCCU